rnacentral:rRNA from 1 species
GACAGAGGUGCCAAGCGUUAGGCGGAAUCACUGGGCGUAAAGGGUGCGUAGGCGGGUCUUUUAAGUCAGGGGUGAAAUCCUGGAGCUCAACUCCAGAACUGCCUUUGAUACUGAAGAUCUUGAGUUCGGGAGAGGUGAGUGGAACUGCGAGUGUAGAGGUGAAAUUCGUAGAUAUUCGCAAGAACACCAGUGGCGAAGGCGGCUCACUGGCCCGAUACUGACGCUGAGGCACGAAAGCGUGGGGAGCAAACAGG